GUAUCACCCGCGCACCAAUGCCCUGUGGCUCUCCUACCUGCUGCAGAAGUUGACCAACAAGCUGCCCAGGACGAAGCAAGUGGCAAAGGGGUUCACUAGUGGCGGCCGACUGGCUUCCUGGACGGACGCAGUGCUGGCGCUGCCGUCUGCUGAGGCGUUUGUGGUCGAGCACGUGGCUCUCCAGCCCAAACGUAAGGCCGAGGCGCUCACGAAAAAGAGGCGCUGGGAAAGGCCCCAGAACAAGGAGCCGGACGCCAGGAGCGCCCGGACGCGCUACGCAUUGCGCUAAGAUGCCUGCACGUGGGCCGCCUUUAUUGACUGCGAACAUGCGUGCAUGAGAAUGCACAGUUUUACGGUGCCGGCGAAAGAACGUCGUUUGGGCCAAAAUGCUUGAGGCCCGUGAGCUUCGAAUUGAAUGCACGUGAAACAACCCCAGAUCCUCAAAUCCAGAAGCCUGCCCUACGGAGUCUCUCGUAAUUAUAUCGUCGUAACAGGACUUUAAAACCCUGCAAUUAUUUUAUUUAUUUCAUACUUUAGCCAUUAUGGCACUCCACGAAAAAAACAGAAGAAAAUUAUAAAAACAUAACUGCCUGAUACGUUGCUAACGCUCCGAUUGCUUCGUUGUUUUUGCUUUUUUUGGGGGGUGCUGACUUUUGUUAUUGUAUGUUUCGCCGAAGAUAAAAUGAAGAUGGUAUGAAUGCCCAGUGA